rnacentral:rRNA from 1 species
AACGAACGCUGGCGGCAGGCUUAACACAUGCAAGUCGAACGCCCCGCAAGGGGAGUGGCAGACGGGUGAGUAACGCGUGGGAAUCUACCCAAUUCUUCGGAACAACUGAGGGAAACUUCAGCUAAUACCGGAUACGCCCUACGGGGAAAGGAUUUAUCGGAAUUGGAUGAGCCCGCGUUGGAUUAGCUAGUUGGUGAGGUAAUGGCUCACCAAGGCGACGAUCCAUAGCUGGUCUGAGAGGAUGAUCAGCCACACUGGGACUGAGACACGGCCCAGACUCCUACGGGAGGCAGCAGUGGGGAAUAUUGGACAAUGGGGGAAACCCUGAUCCAGCCAUGCCGCGUGAGCGAUGAAGGCCUUCGGUU